ACGAACGCUGGCGGCGUGCUUAACACAUGCAAGUCGAACGGAAAGGCCCUGCUUUUGUGGGGUGCUCGAGUGGCGAACGGGUGAGUAACACGUGAGUAACCUGCCCUUGACUUUGGGAUAACUUCAGGAAACUGGGGCUAAUACCGGAUAGGAGCUCCUGCUGCAUGGUGGGGGUUGGAAAGUUUCGGCGGUUGGGGAUGGACUCGCGGCUUAUCAGCUUGUUGGUGGGGUAGUGGCUUACCAAGGCUUUGACGGGUAGCCGGCCUGAGAGGGUGACCGGCCACAUUGGGACUGAGAUACGGCCCAGACUCCUACGGGAGGCAGCAGUGGGGAAUAUUGCACAAUGGGCGAAAGCCUGAUGCAGCAACGCCGCGUGCGGGAUGACGGCCUUCGGGUUGUAAACCGCUUUCGCCUGUGACGAAGCGUGAGUGACGGUAAUGGGUAAAGAAGCACCGGCUAACUACGU
rnacentral:rRNA from 1 species